CAACUUAUGAAAUUUUUCGAAUUGUCUAGGUAUGUACAGUACCUAAUGUAGGGUGGUAACGAUAUUACGAAUACAGAACAAACUCCAAACAAAGACGACUUUGUUCAGACUUUGAAAUGAGAGGUUGUUCGAGCAGGACUUUAGCAGAUUAAUGUAAAGUACUGGUUAUGAUUAUUAGUCGUGUUGGUUAAGAAAAAGGUUAGGUUAAGGAUCUCCAGCCGCCGUCUCUCAAGGAUCAUAUAUAAGGUACAUAAAUAAUGGCAUUAAUGGAGAGUACAUCUGCACCAAUGGACUCUGUUGCUGAUGAUCUUUCAAAUGAAAUAUCAAGGAUGAGUUGUGACAAUACUACAGAACAGAAACAUCAAUUUGGAAGAACACUGGUAUGCGUAGAAUAUCCUGCUAUUGUACAGAAUGAUGACAAAAUGAUACAGACUCUCUCGGUGGUAUCCACAAAAUAUCAAAGGUCUACGCAGAGCGUAAUCGAAGACUAGAGCUGCGUUUUCGACCAGAUGAUGUGUAUUGCAGACCUGCGUGUGCAGAUAGACAGAAGGUCAGUGGUCUGUUGCUGUCUGUCAAAGUGAGACGGAAAAAAGAGCAGUGGAGAUGUAGUGAACGUUACUCCCACUGUUGUCGGGAAGGUCAAUAUGGCUUUUAAGUUUACAAGUCUGUGUGAUUUCCAAUUCUUAGCCAUGGACAAGAUAAAUGAUAAAAUGGAAUGUAUAUACGACCAGCUGGUACCCAAAAGUCUCUUGACUCCCCAGUGGUUUCCAGGAUCCAGCUCCGUAUUUUCUUACCGCCAGCAACAUUCUCUCGUAUGGACACA